rnacentral:rRNA from 1 species
GACGUAGGGCGCGAGCGUUGUCCGGAUUUAUUGGGCGUAAAGAGCUCGUAGGCGGCUUGUUACGUCGCUCGUGAAAACUUGGGGCUCAACCCCAAGCUUGCGGUCGAUACGGGCAGACUGGAGUUCGGCAGGGGAGACUGGAAUUCCUGGUGUAGCGGUGAAAUGCGCAGAUAUCAGGAGGAACACCGGUGGCGAAGGCGGGUCUCUGGGCCGAUACUGACGCUGAGGAGCGAAAGCGUGGGGAGCGAACAGG